CGUCAGUGCCGUACUCUCACACAGAUGCAUGAUCUCAACACUGUGUUCUCUUGGGAUUCUCCAUAGAAAGUGUUUUUCCCUACAGCCCUCACUGGUGACGACUGGGGUAGAAAUGAGAAACUCUAAAAAAUCGUUCCUACUUUGUCUCAGUUUAUCCUUAGACUAGGUUGGAAUUUGAGUAAAAUUUCAAAACAGUUACUGUAUUUCAUAAACAUUCUGGCAGAGGUGCUUUAAAU